GACGAACGCUGGCGGCGUGCUUAACACAUGCAAGUCGAACGGAAAGGCCCUGCUUUUGUGGGGUGCUCGAGUGGCGAACGGGUGAGUAACACGUGAGUAACCUGCCCUUGACUUUGGGAUAACUUCAGGAAACUGGGGCUAAUACCGGAUAGGAGCUCCUGCUGCAUGGUGGGGGUUGGAAAGUUUCGGCGGUUGGGGAUGGACUCGCGGCUUAUCAGCUUGUUGGUGGGGUAGUGGCUUACCAAGGCUUUGACGGGUAGCCGGCCUGGGAGGGUGACCGGCCACAUGGGGACUGAGAUACGGCCCAGACUCCUACGGGAGGCAGCAGUGGGGAAUAUGGCACAAUGGGCGGAAGCCUGAUGCAGCAACGCCGCGUGCGGGAUGACGGCCUUCGGGUGGUAAACCGCUUUCGCCUGUGACGAAGCAUGAGUGACGGUAAUGGGUAAAGAAGCACCGGCUAACUACGUG
rnacentral:rRNA from 1 species